rnacentral:rRNA from 1 species
AUUGAACGCUGGCGGCAUGCCUUACACAUGCAAGUCGAACGGUAACAGGUAAAGCUGACGAGUGGCGAACGGGUGAGUAAUAUAUCGGAACGUGCCCAGUCGUGGGGGAUAACGUAGCGAAAGCUACGCUAAUACCGCAUACGAUCUACGGAUGAAAGCGGGGGAUCGCAAGACCUCGCGCGAUUGGAGCGGCCGAUAUCAGAUUAGCUAGUUGGUGGGGUAAAAGCUCACCAAGGCGACGAUCUGUAGCUGGUCUGAGAGGACGACCAGCCACACUGGAACUGAGACACGGUCCAGACUCCUACGGGAGGCAGCAGUGGGGAAUUUUGGACAAUGGGCGCAAGCCUGAUCCAGCAAUGCCGCGUGCAGGAUGAAGGCCUUCGGGUUGUAAACUGCUUUUGUACGGAACGAAACGGCGAGCUCUAAUACAGUUUGCUAAUGACGGUACCGUAAGAAUAAGCACCGGCUAACUACGUGCCAGCAGCCGCGGUAA